GACGAACGCUGGCGGCGUGCUUAACACAUGCAAGUCGAACGGAAAGGCCCUGCUUUUGUGGGGUGCUCGAGUGGCGAACGGGUGAGUAACACGUGAGUAACCUGCCCUUGACUUUGGGAUAACUUCAGGAAACUGGGGCUAAUACCGGAUAGGAGCUCCUGCUGCAUGGUGGGGGUUGGAAAGUUUCGGUGGUUGGGGAUGAACUCGAGGCUUAUCAGCUUGUUGGUGGGGUAGUGGCUACCAAGGCUUUGACGGGUAGCCGGCCUGAGAGGGUGACCGGCCACAUUGGGACUGAGAUACGGCCCAGACUCCUACGGGAGGCAGCAGUGGGGAGUAUUGCACAAUGGGCGGAAGCCUGAUGCAGCAACGCCGCGUGCGGGAUGACGGCCUUCGGGUUGUAAACCGCUUUCGCCUGUGACGAAGCGUGAGUGACGGUAAUGGGUAAAGAAGCACCGGCUAACUACGUG
rnacentral:rRNA from 1 species